GGGCUCUCUUUGGCAGCUCAUAUACUAAAGUUGGAACAAGACAGAGAUUAUCACGUCCUCUUGCAAGGAUGACUUGCAAGUUUGUGAAGCGUUUCAUAUUUAA